GAAAUGCGAUAAGUAAUGUGAAUUGCAGAGUUCAGUGAAUCAUCGAAUCUUUGAACGCACAUUGCGCCCGCCAGUAUUCUGGCGGGCAUGCCUGUUCGAGCGUCAUUACAACCCUCAGGCCCCCGGGCCUGGCGUUGGGGAUCGGCGGAAGCCCCCUGCGGGCACAACGCCGUCCCCCAAAUACAGUGGCGGUCCCGCCGCAGCUUCCAUUGCGUAGUAGCUAACACCUCGCAACUGGAGAGCGGCGCGGCCACGCCGUAAAACACCCAACUUCUGAAUGUUGACCUCGAAUCAGGUAGGAAUACCCGCUGAACUUAAGC
rnacentral:misc_RNA from 1 species